rnacentral:rRNA from 1 species
GAAGGGCGUUUGGUGAAUGCCUUGGCAGUAAGAGGCGAUGAAAGACGUGAUACUCUGCGAUAAGUCAUGGGGAGCUGAGAAUAAGCUUUGAUCCAUGAAUUUCUGAAUGGGGCAACCCACCUGAAAGUUUGUUAUUGUUACUUCGGUAAUCAAUAAUGGGCUUAACCAGGUACUUUUAGACUGAAUACAUAGGUUUAAAAGAGCAAACCCGGGGAACUGAAACAUCUAAGUACCCGGAGGAAAGGAAAUCAAUUGAUACUCCCCUAGUAGCGGCGAGCGAACGGGGACCAGCCGAGCCUUGAGUGCGAGAAGAACAUGUUGGGAAGCAUGGCCAUAGCGGGUGAUAGCCCCGUAUUCGAAGCAUGAUAGGACGUAUUAAGUAGGGCGGAACACGUGAAAUUCUGUCUGAAGAUCGGAGGACCACCUUCGAAGGCUAAGUACUCCUUACUGACCGAUAGUGAACCAGUACCGUGAGGGAAAGGUGAAAAGCACCCCGACGAGGGGAGUGAAACAGUACCUGAAACCGAACGCCUACAAUCAGUUGGAGGGCCCUUGCGGCCUGACAGCGUACCUUUUGUAUAAUGGGUCAUCGACUUGGUCUCACGAGCAAGCUUAAACCGUUAGGUGUAGGCGCAGCGAAAGCGAGUCUUAAUAGGGCGCAUGAGUUCGUGGGAUCAGACCCGAAACCGAGUGAUCUAGGCAUGGCCAGGUUGAAGGUGCAGUAACAUGCACUGGAGGACCGAACCCACAUCUGUUGAAAAAGAUCGGGAUGAGCUGUGCCUAGGGGUGAAAGGCCAAUCAAACUCGGAGAUAGCUGGUUCUCUGCGAAAUCUAUUUAGGUAGAGCGUCAUCCGAAUACCCCGGGGGGUAGAGCACUGGAUGGGUAAUGGGGCCCCACAGGCUUACUGAUCCUAACCAAACUCCGAAUACCCGGGAGUACUAGAUGGCAGACACACUGCGGAUGCUAACGUCCGUAGUGGAGAGGGAAACAACCCUGACCUCCAGCUAAGGCCCCUAAUUCAUGGCUAAGUGGGAAAGCAGGUGGGAUGUCCAAAACAACCAGGAAGUUGGCUUAGAAGCAGCCAUCUUUUAAAGAUAGCGUAACAGCUCACUGGUCUAAUUAAGACGUCCUGCGGCGAAGAUGUAACGGGGCUCAAGCCAUGAGCCGAAGCUGAGGAUGCACAUAGUGCAUGGUAGCAGAGCGUAGUGUGACAUAGUUCCAUGUCUCCUUACCUACUUCGGUAGGAUUGGAGACACGGAGCUUUCGAUGAAGCCGGGGCGUGAGCCAUCCGGUGGAGAGAUCACUAGCGAGAAUGAUGACAUGAGUAGCGACAAAGAGUGGGAGAGACACUCUCGCCGCAAGUCCAAGGGUUAAUGCUUAAAGCUAAUCUGAGCAGGGGAAGCCGACCCAUAAGGCGAGGCCGAAAGGAGUAGUCGAUGGGAACCAGGUCAAUAUUCCUGGGCCAUGAGGUGGCG